CUUUUGCAUCAUGAUUUAGCUAGAAACAUUCAAGCAAAGCGAACUUUAGUUUAACCCCCCGAAACUUGGCGAGUUACUCCAGGACAGCCCAUUAAGGGGCCAACCCGUCUCUGUUGCAAAAGAGUGGGAAGAUCCUCGAGUAGAGGUGAUAGACCUACCGAGCCAAGUUAUAGCUGGUUGCCUACAAAAUGAAUAGAAGUUCAGCCUCUUUAAUUAUUUUUUCUCAAGGCAAGGCCUAACAAGGAUAUUAAGAAUCUAAGAGAGUUAUUCUAAGGGGGAACAGCCCCUUUGAACAAAGACAAAACUUUAAUAGCCGGCUAAAGA
rnacentral:rRNA from 1 species